rnacentral:rRNA from 1 species
GGGGGGGGGGGGGGGGGGGGGGGGGGGGGGGGGGGGGGGGGGGGGGGGGGUGGGGGUGGGGGGUGCUCGGGUGGGGGGCGGGUGGGGGGCGCGUGGGUCGCGUGGCCGUGACUUUGGGAUAGCUUCGGGACGCUGGGGCGAGUACCGGGUAGGAGCUCCUGCUGCGUGGUGGGGGUUGGACAGUUUCGGCGGUUGGGGAUGGGCUCGCGGCUUAUCAGCUUGGUGGUGGGGUAGUGGCCUACCAAGGCUGUGACGGGUAGCCGGCCUGAGAGGGUGACCGGCCACAUUGGGACUGAGAUACGGCCCAGACGCCUACGGGAGGCAGCAGUGGGGAAUAUUGCACAAUGGGCGGAAGCCUGAUGCAGCAACGCCGCGUGCGGGAUGACGGCCUUCGGGUUGUAAACCGCUUUCGCCUGUGACGAAGCGUGAGUGACGGUAAUGGGUAAAGAAGCACCGGCUAACUACGUG